rnacentral:rRNA from 1 species
CCCUUAGAUGUUCUGGGCUGCACGCGCGCUACACUGAUGCAUCCAGCGAGUUGUAACCUUGCUUGGUAAAGUUUGGUAAUCUGAGCCUAAUGUGCAUCGUGAUGGGAAUAGAGUUUUGCAACUAUUAGUCUUGAACGAGGAAUUCCCCGUAAGCACGAGUCAUCAGCUUGUGCUGAUUACGUCCCUGCCCUUUGUACACACCGCCCGUCGCUCCUACCGAUUGGGUGCUCCGGUGAAGCCUCCGGAUUGCACAGGCCCCGUGUCUGGCGCGAGAAGUUGGCUAAACCUUACCAUUUAGAGGAAGGUGAAGUCGUANCA